GACGAACGCUGGCGGCGUGCUUAACACAUGCAAGUCGAACGGAAAGGCCCUGCUUUUGUGGGGUGCUCGAGUGGCGAACGGGUGAGUAACACGUGAGUAACCUGCCCUUGACUUUGGGAUAACUUCAGGAAACUGGGGCUAAUACCGGUUAGGAGCUCCUGCUGCAUGGUGGGGGUUGGAAAGUUUCGGCGGUUGGGGAUGGUCUCGCGGCUUAUCAGCUUGUUGGUGGGGUAGUGGCUUACCAAGGCUUUGACGGGUAGCCGGCCUGAGAGGGUGACCGGCCACAAUGAGACUGAGAUACGGCCCAGACUCCUACGGGAGGCAGCAGUGGAGAAUAUUGCACAAUGGGCGGAAGCCUGAUGCAGCAACGCCGCGUGCGGGAUGACGGCCUUCGGGGUGUAAACCGCUUUCGCCUGUGACGAAGCGUGAGUGACGGUAAUGGGUGAAGAAGCACCGGCUAACUACGUG
rnacentral:rRNA from 1 species